rnacentral:misc_RNA from 1 species
UUCAGGAUUGAACUGCAGCUGCCUG